rnacentral:rRNA from 1 species
GUGGGGAAUAUUGGACAAUGGGCGAAAGCCUGAUCCAGCCAUGCCGCGUGUGUGAAGAAGGUCUUCGGAUUGUAAAGCACUUUAAGUUGGGAGGAAGGGCAGUAAGUUAAUACCUUGCUGUUUUGACGUUACCGACAGAAUAAGCACCGGCUAACUUCGUGCCAGCAGCCGCGGUAAUACGAAGGGUGCAAGCGUUAAUCGGAAUUACUGGGCGUAAAGCGCGCGUAGGUGGUUUUGUAAGUUGGAGGUGAAAUCCCCGGGCUCAACCUGGGAACGGCCUCCAAAACUGCAUGACUAGAGUACGGGAGAGGGUAGUGGAAUUUCCUGUGUAGCGGUGAAAUGCGUAGAUAUAGGAAGGAACACCAGUGGCGAAGGCGACUACCUGGACUGAUACUGACACUGAGGUGCGAAAGCGUGGGGAGCAAACAGGAUUAGAAACCCCAGUAGUCC